UGAGGAAUAUUGGUCAAUGGGCGAGAGCCUGAACCAGCCAAGUAGCGUGCAGGAUGACGGCCCUAUGGGUUGUAAACUGCUUUUAUAUGGGAAUAAAGUGAGGGACGUGUCCCUUAUUGCAUGUACCAUAUGAAUAAGGACCGGCUAAUUCCGUGCCAGCAGCCGCGGUAAUACGGAAGGUUCGGGCGUUAUCCGGAUUUAUUGGGUUUAAAGGGAGCGUAGGCCGUUUGGUAAGCGUGUUGUGAAAUGUAGGAGCUCAACUUCUAGAUUGCAGCGCGAACUGUCAGACUUGAGUGCGCACAACGUAGGCGGAAUUCAUGGUGUAGCGGUGAAAUGCUUAGAUAUCAUGAAGAACUCCGAUUGCGAAGGCAGCUUACGGGGGCGCAACUGACGCUGAAGCUCGAAGGUGCGGGUAUCGAACAGG
rnacentral:rRNA from 1 species